rnacentral:rRNA from 1 species
AUUGAACGCUGGCGGCAUGCCUUACACAUGCAAGUCGAACGGCAGCGGGCCUUCGGGUGCCGGCGAGUGGCGAACGGGUGAGUAAUGCAUCGGAACGUGCCAUUGAGUGGGGGAUAACGUAGCGAAAGUUGCGCUAAUACCGCAUAUUCUGUGAGCAGGAAAGCAGGGGACCGCAAGGCCUUGCGCUCUUUGAGCGGCCGAUGUCAGAUUAGCUAGUUGGUGAGGUAAAGGCUUACCAAGGCGACGAUCUGUAGCGGGUCUGAGAGGAUGAUCCGCCACACUGGAACUGAGACACGGUCCAGACUCCUACGGGAGGCAGCAGUGGGGAAUUUUGGGACAAUGGGGGCAACCCUGAUCCAGCCAUGCCGCGUGAGUGAAGAAGGCC